GGCGAACGGGUGAGUAACACGUGGGUAAUCUGCCCUGCACUCUGGGACAAGCCCUGGAAACGGGGUCUAAUACCGGAUAUGACCACUUGGGGCAUCUCAUGGUGGUGGAAAGCGUUUAGUGGUGCAGGAUGAGCCCGCGGCCUAUCAGCUUGUUGGUGGGGUGAUGGCCUACCAAGGCGACGACGGGUAGCCGGCCUGAGAGGGCGACCGGCCACACUGGGACUGAGACACGGCCCAGACUCCUACGGGAGGCAGCAGUGGGGAAUAUUGCACAAUGGGCGGAAGCCUGAUGCAGCGACGCCGCGUGAGGGAUGACGGCCUUCGGGUUGUAAACCUCUUUCAGCAGGGAAGAAGCGAGAGUGACGGUACCUGCAGAAGAAGCACCGGCUGACUACGUGCCAGCAGCCGCGGUAAUACGUAGGGUGCGAGCGUUGUCCGGAAUUAUUGGGCGUAAAGAGCUCGUAGGCGGCGUGUCACGUCGGAUGUGAAAGCCCGGGGCUUAACCCCGGGUCUGCAUUCGAUACGGGCUCGCUAGAGUUCGGUAGGGGAGAUCGGAAUUCCUGGUGUAGCGGUGAAAUGCGCAGAUAUCAGGAGGAACACCGGUGGCGAAGGCGGAUCUCUGGGCCGAUACUGACGCUGAGGAGCGAAAGCGUGGGGAGCGAACAGGAUUAGAUACCCUGGUAGUCCACGCCGUAAACGUUGGGAACUAGGUGUG
rnacentral:rRNA from 1 species